rnacentral:rRNA from 1 species
UCGGGAAUUUUGGGCAAUGGGCGAAAGCCUGACCCAGCAACGCCGCGUGAGGGAUGAAGUAUUUCGGUAUGUAAACCUCGAAAGAAUGGGACGAAUAAAUGACGGUACCAUUUAUAAGCUCCGGCUAACUACGUGCCAGCAGCCGCGGUAAUACGUAGGGAGCAAGCGUUGUUCGGAUUUACUGGGCGUACAGGGCGCGUAGGCGGCGCGGUAAGUCACUUGUGAAAUCUCUGAGCUUAACUCAGAACGGCCAAGUGAUACUGCUGGGCUAGAGUGCGGAAGAGGCAACCGGAAUUCUUAGUGUAGCGGGGAAAUGCGUAGAUAUCAAGAGGAACACCUGAGGCGAAGGCAGGUUGCUGAGCCGACACUGACGCUGAUGCGCGAAAGCCAGGGGAGCAAACG